UACGAAGGGGGCUAGCGUUGCUCGGAAUUACUGGGCGUAAAGCGCACGUAGGCGGCUUUCUAAGUCGGGGGUGAAAUCCUGGAGCUCAACUCCAGAACUGCCUUCGAAACUGGCGAUCUUGAGUCCGGGAGAGGUGAGUGGAACUGCGAGUGUAGAGGUGAAAUUCGUAGAUAUUCGCAAGAACACCAGUGGCGAAGGCGGCUCACUGGCCCGGUACUGACGCUGAGGUGCGAAAGCGUGGGGAGCAAACAGG
rnacentral:rRNA from 1 species